GUCCUUACUAAUCUUAUAAGAUAACCCUAAAAAAUUACUCAUAUAUUAAUCCUACUAAUAUAAUUCAAACUAAAAGUACUAAAAAGGAAAACUCAUCAAUUUAAAGUAGUGAUAAUCCACGUACCUUGUGCAUUAUGGUUUUACAAGCUAAAUAUUAAAAACAACUCUCCCGAAUCCUACGCGAGUUGCUCCCAUAUUGCUAAGAGCUCACUACUAGUUGUGGCAUCAACUUUAGAAAAUAUGGGGGCAGAGGCUACAUACCACCCGCGCUAGAAAAUCGCUGGUUUUCAAUAAAAUUUAUUAAUUAAAACAUGUAAUACUAUUACAGUGUAAGAUUUCAGAGGACAAGCCCUGUAAUCCUAAGCUAAUAUCUUAAUUCAUAUCGACAUUAGGCCUAAAAACAGCCACCCUUAUCACUUUACCGUAUUAAUUAGUUAAUUAAUUAAUAUCAUUUUAUGCUCCUACUAUUUGAAAGUUGGGAAAAAUAAUAAAUCCUUAAAUAUUCUGUAAAAAUAAGUAUUUAAAAUCAAUUAAGCAAUAAUUUUAAAAUAUAAUUUAAUUUAAUAUACAAUCACUUAUAAAGGAACUCGGCAAAUCAUUAUUUCGACUGUUUAACAAAAACAUUGCUUUAUGAAAACUAAUAAAAAGUAAUCCUGCCCAG
rnacentral:rRNA from 1 species